GUAGGUGGCAAGCGUUGUCCGGAAUUAUUGGGCGUAAAGCGCGCGCAGGUGGUUCUUUAAGUCUGAUGUGAAAGCCCCCGGCUCAACCGGGGAGGGUCAUUGGAAACUGGGGAACUUGAGUGCAGGAGAGGAAAGUGGGAUUCCACGUGUAGCGGUGAAAUGCGUAGAUAUGUGGAGGAACACCAGUGGCGAAGGCGACUUUCUGGCCUGUAACUGACACUGAGGCGCGAAACGCGUGGGGUAGCAAACAGGGAUUAGAUACCCUGGUAGUCCACGCCGUAAACGAUGAGUGCUAAGUGUUGGGGGGGUUUUACCCGGCCCCCGUCAGUGCUGCAGCUAACGCAUUAAGCACUCCGCCUGGGGUAGUACGGUCGCAAGACUG
rnacentral:rRNA from 1 species